UACGGAGGGGGCUGGCGUUGUUCGGAAUUACUGGGCGUAAAGCGUACGUAGGCGGCUUUGUAAGUUAGAGGUGAAAGCCCGGGGCUCAACCCCGGAAUUGCCUUUAAGACUGCAUCGCUUGAACGUCGGAGAGGUGAGUGGAAUUCCGAGUGUAGAGGUGAAAUUCGUAGAUAUUCGGAAGAACACCAGUGGCGAAGGCGGCCAACUGGUCCGAUACUGACGCUGAGGCGCGAAAGCGUGGGGAGCAAACAGG
rnacentral:rRNA from 1 species